rnacentral:lncRNA from 1 species
AUGUAUGUAUGUAUGCGGCGGUGUAUACUUCCGCCCUGGGAUCUGACUCCCACAGACCACUGCAACCCCCCACAAAACAUGCAUCUGGAGCAGUUUGGACAAGGAUGGACCACGGAUGAAGGAAUUUGCAGUACCAUCACCUGCUUUACAGACCACACAACCCCCACCAAUGACAGACUAGGACCAAGCUUGGAACACAAACUCCCUAUGACUUUCAACCCUGGAGAAUUUGGACAAGGAUGGACCACGGAUGAAGGAAUUUGCAGUACCAUCACCUGCUUUACAGACCACACAACCCCCACCAAUGACAGACUAGGACCAAGCUUGGAACUCCCUAUGACUUUCAACCCUGGAGAAUUUGGUGAAGAAUGGAAGAUGGAUGAUAGGAUCUGAAGUACCUUCACCCACAUCCAGAGACUAUUCCUAACCCCCUCAGUCAUGUAUCUGUACCAAAGAUGGCACAGACCCCCAUGACUCUUCUUAUAUACUGCUGAGGUUUUUGGGAGGAUUGACCACAGGCGAUGGGAUUUCCAGUACCUCCAGCCCCAUCCAGAAACUACUGCAAACCCCAUCGGCCAUAGAUCUGCAUCAAUAGGCCCAUUCAUAAUAUCCAAAACAACUCAAUGUCUGCUACUAAUAACCCGGGCACCGCCGGGCCCCCAAGCUAGUAUAUAAUAAAAGUCAAUGUUUGUAUGCGACAGUGCGGCGGACAACGGUGCGGCAGCUUUCUGAUUGGCCACCACUAUCACAGACCACUGUGACCACCAGGAAUGACGGACCUGGACCAAACUUGGCACACUUAACACCCAAGAUGCACUUUACGUCCUGGAGUUGUAGUUCACCCUUAUACAGAAAGCACUCAACCCAGCCGACUUCAGAUCUGGACCAAGCUUGGCACACAGCCCCAUCAUGCCCAGCUGUGCACACAGGCAUGGUUUCGGGGUGAUUGUCCUUUGCCUCUGGGUGUUGUAGUUCAUCCUUAUACAGAAAGGACUCAACCCAGCCAACUUCGGAUCUGCACCAAACUUGGCACACUGCCUCAUCAUGCCCAACUGUGCAUACAGGCAGGGUUUUCGGGUGAUUGACCUUUGGGUUUGGAAGUUGUAGUUCACCCUUAUAUAGUUAGCACUGAACCCAGCCAACUUCGGAUCUGGACCAAACUUGGCACACAGCCCUAUCAUGCCAAACUGUGCAUACAGGCAGGGUUUUGGGGUGAUUGACCUUUGGCUCUAGGAGUUGUAGUUCACCCUUAUACAGACAGCACUGGACCCAGCCGACGACGGAUCUGGACCAAACUUAAGUGAUAUUUCCUCACAUCCCAAAACAACGCAAUGCCCUCUACUAAUAACCCGGGCACCGCCGGGUCCCCAAGCUAGUAGGUAUAUAAAAUAGGAAUAAGAUGCAACAUUUACUAAAAAAUAAAUCAGCAUUUGCAAAGUAGGUUAUUUUGCUUUUCAUGGAAUACAGCUGAAAAAUGUUCUGCAGAGUCCACUGUAAACACUACAGAUUUUUGCUAAGAGAUUCAUGUAAAUGGGUAGUGUUCAGAAACCUUUUACUGUUGCCAAAUAUUUCAUGACUCCAACAUUGUGCUAAGGGAACUUCAAUUGGGGCCGGGAACCACAAUUUAAGAAGCAGUGAAAUACCUUUUGGUAUACUAUGUCUGAUGCAUACCUUUCUGAAGGUCCUGAUAUGGCAGGGAUGGUUCCCAAGUAAUCCUCUGUUUUAAUCCUUUGUUGUACCACUUGUUCAAUUAUUUUUAAAACAUUGUUUCUCUCACUUUCUCUCACUUUCCCCCUUAGUUCUUAGAUUAUUGCAAUUUCUUCAAACUACAUUCAAUGCGUAAAGGUACUUUUAACUGAGUUAACUAAGGACUUCAUCCCAUUUGGAGCAGAUAACGGGGUGGGGGCGGGAAUAGUGUUCCAUGUCUUUCUGUAUUUAAGAAAAAUUGAUAAUGUAUUCACUCCCAUCACAUGUAGAAUCAUAGAAUCGCAGAGUUGGAAGAGACCUUGUGGGCCAUCCAGUCCAACCCCCUGCCAAGAAGCAGGAAAAUUGCAUUCAAAGCACCCCCGACAGAUGGCCAUCCUACUUAAAAGCCUCCAAAGAAGGAGCCUCCACCACACUCCGGAGCAGAGAGUUCCAGUGCUGAGCAGCUUUCACAGUUAGGAAGUUCUUCCUAAUGUUCAGGUGAAAUCUCCUUUCCUGUAGUUUGAAGCCAUUGUUCCGUGUCCUGGUCUCCAGGGCAACAUAAAACAAGCUUGCUCCCUCCUCCCUAUGACUUUUUAAGCUGUUAGUCAUUGAUCAGGCAAUAAGACUUUCCAAGUUACAAGUCCUUGUUAAUAUUAUGUGUUUUUCGGGAUUGUGCAAUAUAAGAAGCUAACUUUUUAACAGCCAACUAACAUCACUGGAAUGAAGUGGUAUAAUGAGGAGAAGGAGGGAGCUCCAGAGGUUUGAGGGAAUACUAUCCCUGUGCUUUAUGGGCACUGUGGUUAGCAGAGGAGGCCCUGCUCUCGGUCCCACCCCCAUCUCAAGGAUGGCUGGUGGGAACAAGAGAGAGACUGAGAGAGAGAGAGAGGUCCUUCUCCAUGGCCACCUCUCAUCUCUGGAAAUCCUUCCUAAAGAAAUAAGGCUGCCCACCCCUUUCCCUCCUCUCCUUCAAAAAACAACUAAAGGCCUACUUCUGCUCAUCAACAUAUGAAGAGGAGGAUUAAUUAAUGAGAGCCCACUUCCAGAUCCUGAUUGAGAACUAUGCUGUAUCUGGAUUCUGUUAGUCUAUGUCAUCCCAUUUACCACCGUAGGGCCACUUAAUCCAACCCACACAACUCGGUUGAACUUCAGUUGGCUUUUUAAAUUACUGUGAACGUUUAUUUAGAUUUUAUGUCACUAUAUAAUUUUUGUCUGAUUCUGUUUGAUGAUAUUGGUUUAGGUUAUCGAUGCUAUACUUAAUUCAUUGAUAUUAGGUUUAAUUUGAUGUUUGGUUUUUAACACUGUUUUCAUAUGUGGGGUCUUGUUGGGAUUUUAUGCCAAUAUUUAUCUGGGGUUUUUUUUAAGGUAUUGAAUGUAUGCAGUUUUUGGUGGAAUCCGCCCUGAGUCCCUUCGGGGAGAUAGGGCAGAAUAGAAAUAAAGUUUUAUAAUUAUUAUUACUUCCUCUCACAUGGAGACAUGGCCAUCAUGUCUCCACUCAGCCUUCUCUUCUGGAGGCUAAACAUGAGCAGAGAGUUCCACUGCUCUUUAAGCCUCUCCUCAUAGAGCUUGUUCUCUAGACCAGGAGUCCUCAAACUUUUAAAGCAGAGGGCCGGUCCACAAUCCUUCAGACUGUUGAGGGGCUGAAUUAUCAUUUGAAAAAAAAUAUGAACAAAUUCCUAUGCACACUGCAUAUGUCUUAUUUGCAGUGCAAAACAACAACAAUGAAAGA